rnacentral:rRNA from 1 species
AUUGAACGCUGGCGGCAGGCCUAACACAUGCAAGUCGAGCGGAUGAAGGGAGCUUGCUCCUGGAUUCAGCGGCGGACGGGUGAGUAAUGCCUAGGAAUCUGCCUGGUAGUGGGGGAUAACGUCCGGAAACGGGCGCUAAUACCGCAUACGUCCUGAGGGAGAAAGUGGGGGAUCUUCGGACCUCACGCUAUCAGAUGAGCCUAGGUCGGAUUAGCUAGUUGGUGGGGCAAGGGCCUACCAAGGCGACGAUCCGUAACUGGUCUGAGAGGAUGAUCAGUCACACUGGAACUGAGACACGGUCCAGACUCCUACGGGAGGCAGCAGUGGGGAAUAUUGGACAAUGGGCGAAAGCCUGAUCCAGCCAUGCCGCGUGUGUGAAGAAGGUCUUCGGAUUGUAAAGCACUUUAAGUUGGGAGGAAGGGCAGUAAGUUAAUACCUUGCUGUUUUGACGUUACCAACAGAAUAAGCACCGGCUAACUUCGUG